GACGUAGGGUCCAAGCGUUGUCCGGAUUUACUGGGCGUAAAGAGCGCGUAGGCGGUCUGUUAAGUGAGAAGUGAAAUCUCUGGGCUCAACUCAGAAACCGCUUUUCAUACUGGCAGACUUGAGGAAUGCAGAGGUAUGUGGAAUUCCUGGUGUAGCGGUGAAAUGCAUUGAUAUCAGGAGGAACACCCAUGGCGAAGGCAGCAUACUGGGCAUUAUCUGACGCUGAGGCGCGAAAGCGUGGGUAGCAAACAGG
rnacentral:rRNA from 1 species